AAAAAGCCAAACCCUGGAUUUCCGUGUCCAACGUUUGAUCGUUCGUCUGAUAUGAAAUUUUUUUAUAAUUAGUAUUUUCAUUGUUGUUAGAUGAUAAAACAUGAAUAAUAUUUUAUACGUGACUUGUCUUUUUAAUUUUUUUUAUAAUUUUUUCAAAUAAAACAAACAGUCAACGUUGGAUACGGAAAACUAGAGCCACUGAGC
rfam:Oryza glumipatula chromosome 2, whole genome shotgun sequence.